CUACAAGUGGUUUUUUUUUACUUAGACUGGACCAACAUAUGGAAGAAAAAUGAUGACUGAUACCUGGCCUCAAAAGGUGUAAAAGCUUCAGAACGCAGAGUGGGACAAUUGCUUCGAAGCAUUAAUCGACCCUAUCAUAUAGCUUGAUAUAAUGGAUGUCGGAACAUAAAUCCAGUGCCUUACAGCGCUGAGUACAUGGGUCACAAAAUACACAUAGACCAAAACGAGAAGAUGGUUAUGUUUGGUGUGACCCAUGUAGCAGCUGUAGAUGGAUUCUCAAGUAAAAUUGUUGGACACUUCACUAUGCCUGUUAAAAACAACUUGAUCAUAUAUCAGGAAGUUUACAGAAGUGCUGUGCUAGAAUAUGGCAUGUGGGACCAGGUCAGGGUGGAUCAUGGGAGGGAGUUUUUCUUGACACUUUUCAUGCAGGAAAAACUGGCAGACCACCGGUACAACACAGAAAGGCUUCCAUAUCGGCAAACACCUUCAACUAAAGUUAGUAUGUUCAUA